GUGCCCGUGGCUUAAUUGGAUAAAGCGGCGGCCUCCGGAGCCGUAGACUGGAGGUUCAAAUCCUCUCGGGCACACUA
rnacentral:tRNA from 6 species